GAUUUUUAAAAUGGAUUUCUGCUUCUCAGUCUGAGAAGUGAAAAGAUUGAAAUGUAUCACUUUAAUCCUUACAACAAGACAAAAGAUGAAGAACAGAAUAUCAGCAACUUCUUAGAUCCAUAAAAGAAUUGAGGUUACAAGGUCAACUUAAGCUGCUUUGGAUACUUGGCCUCCUCAUCCUCAUGACACAGGAAGAGAGAUGUGGAGGAAUACUACUUCUCUGCCUCUUACAGUGCAGCUAUAUGGAAUGGUUGGAUGAAAUUUGCAAAUUUUCU
rnacentral:lncRNA from 1 species